rnacentral:tRNA from 1 species
UUAACAAAAGCUUAUAAUAAGCAUCUUAUUGUUACUAAGAAGAUAGAAAUAUAUUUCUUGUUAAG